rnacentral:lncRNA from 1 species
UUUUGCUAAGUAGUACUCCACGUACGAGUAUAUUUAUUAGUUUCAUUAAUAGGGUGAUGAGGGAUGAGUUUAGUGUUUCUUACGGACAGCAGCGAAGUUAGCUGUAAAAUCUAAAUAAAUGAAAUAAACUAUAUUUUAACUGUUGUUUUGACAAUUUUAUUGUUAAUAAGAGAUUGACAGUGUCAAAAUAAGACACAAUAUAUUUAUUAAGACACUAAUUAUUCAUAUUAAAGCAAAUCGUUUUAAUUUAAAAAUUUGGAUAUUUAAAAACAAAUAGGAAAUUUAAAUUAUUGCAGGUGUGAUCAGAUUUCGGAUUCAGAAGUACAAUAUGAGAACCAAACUAAUUUAUCAUAUUUGCUUGUUUGGAAUUGUUUUUAUAAGCAAAUGUUACUAAGUUAUUAGAUUGGUUAGUUUAUCCCAAACAAUUUUCAGUGUCCAUUUACUAACCGAGUUAACCCUUAGUCAAUAAUCCCAAACAAUUUUAUUUCAGAAAAUAUAGGUGAUAUGCG